UCGAUUAUUUUAAAGUUAAUAUCCCCUAAACAAAAUUUUCGACGCCAAAGCUUCGAUGGCGGGAACCAAUGAUCGAAGGAAACACCAUCGAAACCCCGUAGUAGAGAGAGGAAGAAAGAUUUGGUAGACCGGCGUAGCGAACAGAAAUCAGUAGUUUCUUCUCAAGCGCCAUUCCCCAAAUGCCGCUUCAAUGCCUUAAGCAAUGGAUGAUCAUCGAUGAAGCUCGUCGAGGCCUCGUUUUAGCCGAUGAUGUAUAUAUGAAUGCUUGUCCUGCGGGCGUUUCUAUUCGAAAAGAUGUGCCGAAGAACAGAGAGGAAUCAUCAAUGUUUUCUCAGGAGUCGAUCCUUAAUGGAUGACUGUGGAUGAAGUUGGUCGAGUUCUUGUUUUAGGUGUUUGCAUUUUUCUUAUUCGAAUGUUCGCAUCGUAUUUCGGUAUACGAAUUUGAGAACCUUUUUGGUUUUUGAAAAUUUACCAUUUGUUCUCAGGACCAGUAGCGUACGGAUACUCGGACCGUGGUCGUUAUUCCUAUAUGAAAAAGCACUUUCGUCUUCUGAUUCCUUUCUAAUCAUUUCUCUCAUCACAUCAUCGUUUGAAUUGUUUCAUUUUCUUAAGUUUUGAUGUUUUGCUUGCAGACUCAAAAACACUGAAAGAAGAGAAGACACAGGAGCUCUCACAUUCAAAACACUGAAUAAGUCGGUAGUUAGUAGUUUAGAAUUUCUUUCGUAUGUAGACAAAAUGAAAGUUUCAUUUUGUCUACAUACACUUCCAUUUUGCUCUAUUAUCAUCAUCAUUAUUAUUACUAUGUAGAAGAUGGAUCUUAGCCCGAAUCUUGUCUCGAAGAAAAUCGGUGUUAUAUCACUCUGAGUUCAAGCUUACAAGUUAGGGGAAGUUUAAGUUUCUUAAAAUACGUUCUGAACACUCAUUCCCUCUUGCACGGGUUCUAUUAUUACGUAAAAUAGAGAGGAAAUAAUAUUUUAGGAAGUCAUUGUUAUACAUUAUUAAAUCACCAUGGAUUCAAAAGUAUAAGCUUAUACGUUAGGAUAGAUAAUACUCCCAUAGCCUCUCUGUUAUUGUUAAUAUAUGUACAUCAAAGGGUGACUGUCGCUUGAAGCACUAUAGUUUCUCUCCAUUUACUUCAUCAAGAAAUAUUACUUAUUUGUACCGACUCCACGAAUUAAGAUACUGACACAAUGUAUCAUAUGAAAACUGUCUCUUCUGGGCCUUUUGCUUCUGAAAUUUCGUCUUUAUCAAUAAAUUGAAAUAGGAUAAACCAAAAUGAUCACGACUCUGCAAUCGGUCUAAUCAUCAAGGUUGUAGCAUAGGAAUAUUUCUAACCGAGGUGAAUCACUCCCUGGUUUCUUACAUUCAUAAUAUCAGUUAUGUGAUUUUAAUGUCUGCCAGAAAAUCAUCUAAUUGACGCAAUUAAGAGUCUAUGUGCAAUACAAUGGUUACCCAAAAAAGAAAAAGAAAAGCAAAGAAGACUUUAUGAGGUUGUCUCUUUAAGACUGUACAUACAAUCAUCUGCAAGCCAAGUAUUUUGCUUUUUUCUUGACCUCAACAGGAAAUGACGGGCCAACAACAAAGAUGAAGCACACACCUCAAUCAGCACAUGUAACAAUGUUCUUGUGUCCCUAUGGAGACAGCUUUGAUAUCAGAAAACUCCAUAGAGAUGAGCAAUGGCAGCCAAAACUGCAGCUACCAGAAGCCCCCUGUUGUUCUCAUGGCGAUUUCCUGCAUUAUGUGGUCGACCUUGGCGGUGAUGUGCUUGUGCCGAACCAGCUGCAUAAACAGGGAUUACGGCUGUACCUCCUCCAUUAUGAGGUCUACUGCCACCACCAUUUUCUCCACCGCCGGCAACCGCACUUCCCUGACCAAUCCCAUUAGAAACGGUGAUUUCAGUUGCACUGUAUCUUCUGGCAAUCUGGUUAGUAAUCCCAUCUUUGCUACGUUUUUCCGUGUAGGUUUUCUGUUGGUAAUUAGACUCUGCAUACAUAUAGAACAUAUUAAAGGAAUGUAAGUGGUAACUAGUAAGUUUUCUUUUGAUGACCUUUUGUUUCUUUUUGGGAAAUGUGUAGGUGUAUAUUAUUCAUGGCACGCACUUUUGAGGCACCAAAAAUUUCCAUUCUAUAAGUUUCCAAUUACCUCGAAAUACAUUUUUUUAUUUAAAUCUCAUUUUAGUGUCCGAACUUUUGAGUUCGAUAACUUUUAAAAUGCCCGUCUUCUCGUAAACUUUCAAGUCUUUUCUUUUUUGGUUUUUGAAUUUUGUUAAAAUAUUUAUUUUACUCUCUAAAUUUAUAGAAAAAAGCAAUAAUUUGAUUGUCUUUAUUAUUCUACUAUUAAUAUAUUAAGACACAUUCAAAGUCACGUCUCAUAUCUGAACGCACAUACAAAUAUAUUUUGAAACUUUUCAACUCAAAAAACCUGUUUUAAAAAGGCAAGUUUAAUUUUCUGAUAUUUCAGGAAACAUAAACAGUUUUAUGUGGUUAAAAUCAUCGUUAGUGAAAUGAAUUUUGUUACAUUUUUCUAAAAAAUAGACCCUAUAUUUUUUUGUUUUCCAAACUCCUUUUUUCCUUCUCUAACCAUGUAGUUUAAAAUUACAAUUUUAAUAUUAAUGUAUAUAUUCUCUAAUUAAAUACAGAGUAUAAAAAGUAGUAGGAAGAGCUUAUUGAACAAGUUUUUGAACUAUAAUAAUGGAAAACACUUCUUAAAAAACACAUAAUAUUUGCAACCAAACAUAUAUGUAACUUGUAUGCAUCAUGUAUCAUAAAAUAAAUGAUAGUUUAAUGAUAUGAUCACUUUGUUCUUAUUAAGUAUUACCACUAAAUAAAAAAACUAAAUUGGAGACUAUGAAUAUGUUGACUAAUUAGAAUAGUGAUAGGUUUGGAACACUUUUCCUUAUUUUAUUAAGGAUGGGGAAGAAUUUGAAAGCUCCCCCUCCCUCCCAUCAGUCUCAACAUAUGAGAAUUGAUACAAAAUCUUCACUAACUCUCAUGGCCUCAAAUGGCCUUACAAAUACCUCCUCUCCCGUGGGCCCCCCUCUCUCUCUUUUCUGUUUUUUCCUCUUCUAACUAACAAUAUUCCUUGGCCCACUACAUUCUCUCAAAUUUCCCUAACUUACACAUUUUCUUUCAUUUUCUUUUCAUAUACCUUGGUUAUUAAAGGUCUAUCAGAUAGUUCAUUAUUUAAUCACUUUUGUCAAUAUUGAGUGAGAAAGCUACAGUUAGUGGAAAAGCCAUAUAUUAUUAUGGCCCUCCAUUCACAUGAUAUUAAACUUUAUUUUAUUUGUAUAUUUAUUUUCAUUCGACAUUGUAUAAGACAUAUUAACCUGCACUCCUCAUUCACCUAUGUUCUUGGGAAAAUGAUAAGAAAUAGCAUCUUUUUUAACUUUUUAUUUUACACCAUCACCCUUCUUGAAAAGCCGUUCACUCGUUCCAAAAGACGCUAAUUUUAUAAGAUUAAAAAUUUAAACAUACUAUUUCCAAUAAGUUCCCAUAUAUUCUUUCGUUAAUCUUUUAUUCUUUUCUUUUUUCACAUUACUAUUUUAUUCAUAACUUCAAUCAUACUAAUUUGUCGUUUACUUUAUAUACACCCACACAUGUUUAUCUGGAAUGCAUGCUUUAUUACAGUUUCUUGUCGGUUUCAUUAUUCAACUUUGUCGUAUAUACUUUAUUAUGUGCUUGAUUUUGACUAAAGCAUUGUUGUAAUUAAAGUUAUCCUAACCAAAACUUCUGAGCUAACGAGUCUUUUAAUAUGAUAUCGAUAGUGGAAGUCAUUCAGAAUUUUAGUAUUAGUAUGAUUAAAUUUAGUGUAAAUUAUAAAAAUCAUUUGAAUUAACAUAAAAAUUGAAUCCUUAUAUUUUAUUCAAAUGUUAAAAUUAAACCAUAAAAUUUAUAAUAAUUAGAAAAAUUAGACGUACAAAUAAUAAAAACUAAACUCUUAAAUUUAUACAAAUAUUACCAUUUAUACAAUAUAAUUUUCAAUAUCUAAUUUGACCCGAUAAUAAUAUUUAUAUAAUUUUGAGAAUUCAAAUUUUAAUUUUAAAAUUUAAGGAUAUAAUUAUAACUAAUUAUUUUAAGUUAUAAGUUUAAGCUUCUGAGAUGGACUAUUUAACCGAAGUUUACUUUUUACCUUAACAAUUAAUUACCUUUCACGUCUUUCAAGAGAAGAGAAUAAGGAUGAACUUAUAGCACUAACAAAAACACCCAUCGACAUAAUGGUCUUUUGAGCUUUUUAAGGAAAAAAUAUCCCUGCCCUGACAUUCCUUUGAAUUCCCUCAAAUUUACGUCCCAUUCAAAAUUAUUGAAAUCCUUAUGUUAGAUUAUUGUGAGGCAGUAAUUUUCCUUUAAGGAAUUAUUAAUUUUUCCGCAAGUGGAGACUAGACUUUGAUUUAGAACUAGAUACCAAGAAAUGAUUUCAUGUUAUCUUUGAUUCAAUUUUGAAAUUGUGUAGC